rnacentral:rRNA from 1 species
UACAGAGGGUGCGAGCGUUAAUCGGAAUUACUGGGCGUAAAGCGUGCGCAGGCGGCGCGUUAAGACAGGUGUGAAAGCCCCCGAGCUUAACUUGGGAAUUGCGCUUGUGACUGGCGUGCUGGAGUGUGGCAGAGGGAGGUGGAAUUCCACGUGUAGCAGUGAAAUGCGUAGAGAUGUGGAGGAACACCGAUGGCGAAGGCAGCCUCCUGGGCCAGCACUGACGCUCAUGCACGAAAGCGUGGGGAGCAAACAGG